UCCUACGGGAGGCAGCAGUGGGGAAUAUUGCGCAAUGGGGGAAACCCUGACGCAGCGACGCCGCGUGAAGGAAGAAGGCCUUCGGGUUGUAAACUUCUUUGAUCGGGGACGAAGAUGACGGUACCCGAGGAACAAGCCACGGCUAACUACGUGCCAGCAGCCGCGGUAAUA
rnacentral:rRNA from 1 species